rnacentral:hammerhead_ribozyme from 1 species
AUCGAGCUGACGAGUCCCAAAUAGGACGAAACGCGCGUCCCGGAU